rnacentral:lncRNA from 1 species
GUGUAUGUAUGUAUACAUCUAUCUAUCUAAUCCCAAAAAUGUUUUAACCUAGCAUUAAUAAUAUAAGAAAAAAUACAUAUGGAGGGUUGAGUAGGAGCUCUGUGUGUAUGUGUAUGUCACUAUACAUAAUGUGUGUGUGUGUGUGUGUGUGUGUGUGUAGUAUUUAAUGUAAAUCUUGAAAAGGAAUACCUCAUUGACAAAUAACUAUAACAGAAAUAUGGGAGUAGCCACGACUUCAUUGGGAAGCUGAAGAGUAAGUUAAAGAUUAGCCCCAUUCUAGUCGCCUCAGGCACACUGAACACUUAACCAGCUGGUCAAAGUUCUAAAUUAGGUUUAAAUUUAUACAUUCUCUGUCUCCUAUAAUCAUUAUUGAAAUUUCUCUUAAACCUAUUUUAUGUUAAGCCAAGAAACUUUCCAAGAUGUUCAGAUGUUAAGGACAAAGUUUCCUGUUUGGUCUCCUAGAAAUAUCAUUUCUAACAAAGGGCUAUAAUGAUACCAAAGCUUGCAAAACAUGUUUCUUAUAGAAAUUGUAUGUUAGAAUAUUUGCUAUGGAAAAUUAAAUUUGUUCAAUUUAGCCAUAAA